rnacentral:rRNA from 1 species
UACGUAGGGGGCAAGCGUUGUCCGGAAUCAUUGGGCGUAAAGAGCGUGUAGGCGGCUCGAUAAGUCUGCUGUGAAAGUCCAGGGCUCAACCCUGGAAGGCCGGUGGAAACUGUCGGGCUAGAGUCCGGAAGAGGCGAGUGGAAUUCCCGGUGUAGCGGUGAAAUGCGCAGAUAUCGGGAGGAACACCAAUGGCGAAGGCAGCUCGCUGGGACGGUACUGACGCUGAGGCGCGAAAGCUAGGGGAGCAAACGGG